rnacentral:rRNA from 1 species
GGCCAUGGCCCAGGUGAGACGCCCGGUCCCAUUCCGAACCCGGAAGCUAAGGCCUGGCACGGCGAUGGUACUGCACCCGACAGGGUGUGGGAGAGUAGCACGCCGCCGCAC